UACGUAGGCAGCGAGCGUUGUUCGGAGUUACUGGGCGUAAAGAGUGCGUAGGCGGUUUUCUAAGUUUGGUGUGAAAUCUCCCGGCUUAACUGGGAGGGUGCGCCGAAAACUGGAAGGCUUGAGUAUGGGAGAGGUAAGCGGAAUUCCUGGUGUAGCGGUGAAAUGCGUAGAUAUCAGUAGGAACACCUGCGGUGUAGACGGCUUACUGGACCAUAACUGACGCUGAGGCACGAAAGCGUGGGUAGCAAACAGG
rnacentral:rRNA from 1 species